GGUUAAGCGACUAAGCGUACACGGUGGAUGCCCUGGCAGUCAGAGGCGAUGAAGGACGUGCUAAUCUGCGAAAAGCGUCGGUAAGGUGAUAUGAACCGUUAUAGCCGGCGAUGUCCGAAUGGGGAAACCCAGUGCAAUUCGUUGCACUAUCGUUAACUGAAUACAUAGGUUAACGAGGCGAACCGGGGGAACUGAAACAUCUAAGUACCCCGAGGAAAAGAAAUCAACCGAGAUUCCCCCAGUAGCGGCGAGCGAACGGGGAGCAGCCCAGAGUCUGAAUCAGCUUGUGUGUUAGUGGAACGGUCUGGAAAGUCCGACGGUACAGGGUGAUAGUCCCGUACACCAAAAUGCACAGGCUGUGAACUCGAAGAGUAGGGCGGGACACGUGGUAUCCUGUCUGAAUAUGGGGGGACCAUCCUCCAAGGCUAAAUACUCCUGACUGACCGAUAGUGAACCAGUACCGUGAGG
rnacentral:rRNA from 1 species